rnacentral:lncRNA from 1 species
CACUGGGCACAGGGUCUAAGUGGCAAUGAAGAGGGGAUGCUGAGAUAUGGUGGGCAAGGGCUCCUUUAGGAAAAUGGACACUAAUGCCAUUCACCGCAAGCAGGCUGAGUCCACCCCUCUCCUGCAUUACCUGGCUUUGCCAAGACAACCACAGGCAGAGGGUGUCUUAGUUCAGUCUGCUAUAACAGAACACCAUAGGCUGGGGGACUUAAACAUUUAUCUCUUACUGUUCUUAUAAGGGCAUUAAUCCCACCCAUGAAGGCUCUGCCUUCGUGACCUAAUCACCUCCCUAAGGCCGCA